rnacentral:rRNA from 1 species
GAGUUUGAUCGUGGCUCAGAUUGAACGCUGGCGGCAGGCCUAACACAUGCAAGUCGAGCGGUAGAGAGAAGCUUGCUUCUCUUGAGAGCGGCGGACGGGUGAGUAAUGCCUAGGAAUCUGCCUGGUAGUGGGGGAUAACGCUCGGAAACGGACGCUAAUACCGCAUACGUCCUACGGGAGAAAGCAGGGGACCUUCGGGCCUUGCGCUAUCAGAUGAGCCUAGGUCGGAUUAGCUAGUUGGUGAGGUAAUGGCUCACCAAGGCGACGAUCCGUAACUGGUCUGAGAGGAUGAUCAGUCACACUGGAACUGAGACACGGUCCAGACUCCUACGGGAGGCAGCAGUGGGGAAUAUUGGACAAUGGGCGAAAGCCUGAUCCAGCCAUGCCGCGUGUGUGAAGAAGGUCCUCGGAUUGUAAAGCACUUUAAGUUGGGAGGAAGGGCAGUAAAUUAAUACUUUGCUGUUUUGACGUUACCGACAGAAUAAGCACCGGCUAACUCUGUGCCAGCCGCCG